rnacentral:rRNA from 1 species
UAGGGAAUCUUCGGCAAUGGACGAAAGUCUGACCGAGCAACGCCGCGUGAGUGAAGAAGGUUUUCGGAUCGUAAAACUCUGUUGUUAGAGAAGAACAAGGACGUUAGUAACUGAACGUCCCCUGACGGUAUCUAACCAGAAAGCCACGGCUAACUACGUGCCAGCAGCCGCGGUAAUACGUAGGUGGCAAGCGUUGUCCGGAUUUAUUGGGCGUAAAGCGAGCGCAGGCGGUUUCUUAAGUCUGAUGUGAAAGCCCCCGGCUCAACCGGGGAGGGUCAUUGGAAACUGGGGGAGUUGAGUGCAGAAGAGGGGAGUGGAAUUCCAUGUGUAGCGGUGAAAUGCGUAGAUAUAUGGAGGAACAACAGUGGCGAAGGCGGCUCUCUGGUCAGUAACUAACGCAGAGGCUCGAAAGCGUGGGGAGCAAACAGG